rnacentral:rRNA from 1 species
CCCUUAGAUGUUCUGGGCCGCACGCGCGCUACACUGACGAAGUCAGCGAGCAUGUCCUACGCCGACAGGUGCGGGGAAUCUUGUCAAACUUCGUCGUGAUGGGGAUUGAUUAUUGAAAUUCUUGAUCAUCAACGAGGAAUUCCUAGUAAGCGCAAGUCAGCAGCUUGCGUUGAUUACGUCCCUGCCCUUUGUACACACCGCCCGUCGCUACUACCGAUUGAAUGGUUUAGUGAGAUCUUCGGAUUGGCGCCACUGCGGCUCAGCAAUGGGCUCGGUGGAUGCCGAAAAGUUGAUCAAACUUGAUCAUUUAGAGGAAGUAAAGGUCGUAACA